GUCGAGUUGUUUGGGAAUGCAGCUCAAAAUGGGUGGUGAAUUCCAUCUAAAGCUAAAUUUGGCGAGAGACCGAUAGCGAACAAGUACCGUGAGGGAAAGAUGAAAAGCACUUUGGAAAGAGAGUUAAACAGUACGUGAAAUUGUUGAAAGGGAAACGCUUGAAGUCAGUCGCGUUUGCCAGAACUCAGCCUUGCAAUCUUGCCUGGUGUACUUUCUGGUGGACGGGCCAGCAUCAAUUUUGACUGCCGGACAAGGGCUGGGGGAAUGUGGCACCUUUUCGGGGGUGUGUUAUAGCCCCUGGUCGCAUGCGGUGGUUGGGAUUGAGGAAUUCAGCAUGCCUUUAUGGUCGGGGUUCGCCCACGUUCAUGCUUAGGAUGCUGGCGUAAUGGCUUUAAACGACCCGUCUUGAAACACGGACCAAGGAGUCUAACAUGCCCGCGAGUGUUUGGGUGGAAAACCCGUGCGCGUAAUGAAAGUGAAAGUUGGGACCUCUGUUGUGGAGGGCACCGACGCCCGGACCAGACCUUCUGUGACGGAUCUGCGGUAGAGCGUGUAUGUUGGGACCCGAAAGAUGGUGAACUAUGCCUGAAUAGGGUGAAGCCAGAGGAAACUCUGGUGGAGGCUCGUAGCGAUU
rnacentral:rRNA from 1 species